GAUGAACGCUGGCGGCGUGCCUAAUACAUGCAAGUCGAGCGAACAGAUGAGGAGCUUGCUCCUCUGACGUUAGCGGCGGACGGGUGAGUAACACGUGGAUAACCUACCUAUAAGACUGGGAUAACUUCGGGAAACCGGAGCUAAUACCGGAUAAUAUAUUGAACCGCAUGGUUCAAUAGUGAAAGACGGUUUUGCUGUCACUUAUAGAUGGAUCCGCGCCGCAUUAGCUAGUUGGUAAGGUAACGGCUUACCAAGGCAACGAUGCGUAGCCGACCUGAGAGGGUGAUCGGCCCCACUGGAACUGAGACACGGUCCAGACUCCUACGGGAGGCAGCAGUAGGGAAUCUUCCGCAAUGGGCGAAAGCCUGACGGAGCAACGCCGCGUGAGUGAUGAAGGUCUUCGGAUCGUAAAACUCUGUUAUUAGGGAAGAACAAAUGUGUAAGUAACUAUGCACGUCUUGACGGUACCUAAUCAGAAAGCCACGGCUAACUACGUG
rnacentral:rRNA from 1 species